rnacentral:lncRNA from 1 species
GGCCACAUUUGAUCUCUAAUGUUGCACUGAUCUGGUCCCUAGAGCAAAAAUGUGUGACUCCAUAAUCAUUUCCAGUCGAUCCUGCUCUUCCUUUUUUUCUACGGUCCAAAGACUUCAUGACUUGCUGCUGGGUAAUUUAUCACUACAUAAUGGGAGCGGGGCUGUUUGGGGUCACGUAUCCAAUCUGGCAUUUUGAUUCCUUCCUGUUUGUCGGUCAUGGGAAAAGAACAUACAAUAUGUGUACAAAAGGCAGCCCAAGGAGUUAAAACGGCAGCCGCGCUGCCACCCCGAGGCCCUGAGAAUGAUAAAUGCUCAUCUCUGAUUUCUCAAAGCUCUCAAUCCACACACACACACACACACACGCACGCAUAUUCUCCUCUUUUUUAGAACUUUCUUUAUACAUAUAUCAUGACUUACUUUCAGGCUGGGCUGGACACUGACUUCUGACCCCACUGACCUACUCAGCGAGGUUUAUCUGUGUCCGACAGGUAUCGGACCCCUGAUCUUCUGCUGCACAUCUGUUUGACUGCUUGGAUUUUUCCUUACCUGUAGAAACACGACCGUCUCAACAAGGUUCCACCAAAGGUUCGAAGUACAUGUAAACACACGGGUUCAUCCCGGUAACCCCAGUUUGUCAAAGGCGAUGCAUUCAAAGAAACAUCGGGAACCAUCACUAAAGGAAUGGACGGCGGGAGGAAACUUUGGUACCUGGGGGAACAUGCCAACUCCGCAGGGAAGGAGCCAGAAUCAAACCCAGAACCAGCGACUGGGCCCACCACAGAGGCUGCGGUGACGCCUCUUUCUCUUCACCCUAUCUCUAUCAGCCAGCACAGAAAGCGUUGCAGGACAGGAUUGGGCUGGAGGUAAGCGGGCAAAGGCAAGGAGCUACAGUAUGUUGAAAUAAAGUGCCAGUCCCCCCCACCCCCCCACCCAGAGGCCCCCAC